rnacentral:rRNA from 1 species
CCUACGGGGGGCAGCAGUGGGGAAUAUUGCACAAUGGGCGCAAGCCUGAUGCAGCCAUGCCGCGUGUGUGAAGAAGGCCUUCGGGUUGUAAAGCACUUUCAGCGGGGAGGAAGGCGUUAAGGUUAAUAACCUUGUCGAUUGACGUUACCCGCAGAAGGAGCACCGGCUAACUCCGUGCCAGCAGCCGCGGUAAUACGGAGGGUGCAAGCGUUAAUCGGAAUUACUGGGCGUAAAGCGCACGCAGGCGGUCUGUCAAGUCGGAUGUGAAAUCCCCGGGCUCAACCUGGGAACUGCAUUCGAAACUGGCAGGCUAGAGUCUUGUAGAGGGGGGUAGAAUUCCAGGUGUAGCGGUGUAAUGCGUAGAGAUCUGGAGGAAUACCGGUGGCGAAGGCGGCCCCCUGGACAAAGACUGACGCUCAGGUGCGAAAGCGUGGGGAGCAAACAGGAUUAGAUACCCUUGUAGUC